rnacentral:lncRNA from 1 species
AUUCCCAUCAACCACAUUGUAGCUCACAACCAUCUGUUAUGGGAUCUGAUGCGCUCUUCUGGUGUGUCUGAAGACAGCUACAGUGUACUUCUAUACAUAAAAUAAAUAAUUUAAAAAAAGUUAAAUAAAAAAAGAAACUAGUUGGUGAAAAAAAAUGAAAUUAGACAUUUUAAGUCUUCCUUUGCUUCUUUGACAGGAAAAAGGAAGAUAGGACUCUCAUCAGUCAGCGGUAGAGAUUUCUUCUCUCCCUGUAGUAUACAAUAGAGAACCUGGCUGUUCUCUCACCAGGAGGUGAGAACGGUGCUCACACAGCACUCUCAUCCCAGGGGUGCUGAUACAAGCAAGAUGCGGUUGUUGGGUUUUCCUGAUCUUUCUUUCACUAACUUGCUGCUAAUAAAAGUUAUUCUCUAGCUAGAGGGACAGGAUAGCUCAAGGUUUAUAGUACCUGCUCUUACAGAGGACCUGUUAUCACUUGACUGAUGACUGCUUGUUCUCCAGUUUCAGAGGAUCUGAUGCCCUCUUUUGAUCUCUACAGGCAGCUACACUCACAUGCACAUAUCCCCUCAUAUGCAUAAUUGAAAGUAACAGACAUUAAAUCUGAAAAAAAGAUACUAUUCUCAAGCCAGUGAUUAUGCCCAUAAUUAUUAAUGAACAGAGUUCAUGUUUGCUGAGGCAUUUGAGAAGAUACCCCAGGGGAUUGUGGUACCCACAUACAGGAGGACAGCACUUUGUAGGGGAUGUGAAAUUCAACAUUAGCAGCCAUCAGAAGCCAGUGUAGUGGUUCCCUUAAAAGGGAACCUGAUGUAUUUUCCAAAACCCCAGCAAGGUCUUGAAGGGAGGAAUUAAGUUAGCCUUUUUCUUCUUCGCUCCCCUCUUCCUUGCUGAUAAUUUCCUUUGAAUUUUCUUAUGUUUUGUUCUGUGUAUAAGGAAACUUGUGGCUGUUGAUGAAAGAAUUCAAUAACAUAAAAUUUCAUUUACUUGUAUUUAUUAAGCCAAAAUGCUGUUGUACUUCUUGAGCCUCUGGAGAAACCUUGAAAAUCCAUUGGACUUUAGGCUUACUGUGCAUACCACUUACUUAAUUACUGCCCUGAGCCUAGCUAGAGUUCACUGUCACAGAUCGAGGCCGGAAUGAGACUUAUGCACUUCCUCACAGCCACUGGCUUUUCUAUUCCUGUCCGUGGCCUGGCAAUCAAAACCAUGAAUCUGUUCCAAAAGCUUCUGUGAAAGCAGUUGAGAAAUUUGGAACAUGUAAAUGCUCCAGUAAAUGCUCCGAAGCCUGGUGUUUCCAUUCCAUUUUACCAACUUUAUCCACACU